AGCAUCUUAGUAUAAAUAAAUACACCUAAUUUCCAAUUAGAAGAUUAUAGAUGUUA
rnacentral:tRNA from 1 species